rnacentral:rRNA from 1 species
UUGGAGGGCAAGUCUGGUGCCAGCAGCCGCGGUAAUUCCAGCUCCAAUAGCGUAUAUUAAAGUUGUUGCAGUUAAAAAGCUCGUAGUUGAAUUUCGAGACCGGUUUACUGGUCGUGCUUUUGUACGUACUGGUAUUAUUGGUUUCUCCUUUCUGACGAACUAUAAUGCCAUUAAUUUGGUGUUAUAGGGAAUCAGGACUGUUACUUUGAAAAAAUUAGAGUGUUUAAAGCAGGCUCACGCUUGAAUACAUUAGCAUGGAAUAACGGAAUAGGACGUUUGAUUCUAUUUUGUUGGUUUCUAGGAUCGACGUAAUGAUUAAUAGGGAUAGUUGGGGGCAUUAGUAUUCAAUUGUCAGAGGUGAAAUUCUUGGAUUUAUUGAAGACUAACUACUGCGAAAGCAUUUGCCAAGGAUGUUUUCAUUAAUCAAGAACGAAAGUUAGGGGAUCGAAGACGAUCAGAUACCGUCGUAGUCUUAACCAUAAACUAUGCCGACUGGGGAUCGGAUGAUGUUAAUUUUUUAAUGACUCAUUCGGCGCCUUACGGGAAAC